rnacentral:rRNA from 1 species
UCCCCCUGCGGGACGCAGCAGUCGAGAAUCAUUCACAAUGGGGGAAACCCUGAUGGUGCGACGCCGCGUGGGGGAAUGAAGGUCUUCGGAUUUUAAAUCCCUGUCAUGUGGGAGCAAAUUAAAAAGAUAGUACCACAAGAGGAAGAGACGGCUAACUCUGUGCCAGCAGCCGCGGUAAUACAGAGGUCUCAAGCGUUGUUCGGAAUCACUGGGCGUAAAGCGUGCGUAGGCUGUUUCGUAAGUCGUGUGUGAAAGGCGCGGGCUCAACCCGCGGACGGCACAUGAUACUGCG